rnacentral:rRNA from 1 species
GGGGGGGCCAGGGGCGUUUAAUUUGGGGAAAUUUACUGGGGGGGGUAAAGGGGGUGGGCCCGGGCGGGUUUUUUUAAAGACCAGGUGGUAAAAUCCCCCGGGGCUUAACUUGGGAAAAUGCGCUUUUUAAAUGAUUAGGCUGGAGUUGGGGCAGAGGGGGGGUGGAAUUCCACGGUGUAGCAAUGAAAUGCGUAGAGAUGUGGAGGAACACCGAUGGCGAAGGCAGCCCCUUGGGCUAACACUGACGCUCAUGCACGAAAGCGUGGGGGAGCAAACAGGAUUAGAUACCCUGGUAGUCCACGCCCUAAACUAUGUCAACUGGUUGUCGGGGAAGCAAUUCCUCGGUAACGAAGCUAACGCGUGAAGUUGACCGCCUGGGGAGUACGGCCGCAAGGUUAAAACUCAAAGGAAUUGACGGGGACCCGCACAAGCGGUGGAUUAUGUGGAUUAAUUCGAUGCAACGCGAAAAACCUUACCUACCCUUGACAUGCCAGGAACCUCGCAGAGAUGUGAGGGUGCCCGAAAGGGAACCUGGACACAGGUGCUGCAUGGCUGUCGUCAGCUCGUGUCGUGAGAUGUUGGGUUAAGUCCCGCAACGAGCGCAACCCUUGCCAUUAGUUGCCACAUUCAGUUGGGCACUCUAAUGGGACUGCCGGUGACAAACCGGAGGAAGGUGGGGAUGACGUCAAGUCCUCAUGGCCCUUAUGGGUAGGGCUUCACACGUAAUACAAUGGCCGGUACAGAGGGCAGCCAACUCGCGAGAGGGAGCUAAUCCCAGAAAGCCGGUCGUAGUCCGGAUUGCAGUCUGCAACUCGACUGCAUGAAGCCGGAAUCGCUAGUAAUCGCGGAUCAGCAUGUCGCGGUGAAUACGUUCCCGGGUCUUGUACACACCGCCCGUCACACCAUGGGAGUGGGUUUCACCAGAAGUAGUUAGCCUAACCGCAAGGAGGGCGACUACCACGGUGAGAUUCAUGACUGGGGUGAAGUCGUAACAAGGUAGCCGUAUCGGAAGGUGCGGCUG